UACGGGGGGGCAAGCGUUGUUCGGAAUUACUGGGCGUAAAGGGCUCGUAGGUUGCCAACUAAGUCAGACGUGAAAUCCCUCGGCUUAACCGGGGAACUGCGUCUGAUACUGGAUGGCUUGAGUUUGGGAGAGGGAUGCGGAAUUCCAGGUGUAGCGGUGAAAUGCGUAGAUAUCUGGAGGAACACCGGUGGCGAAGGCGGCAUCCUGGACCGGUAUUGACGCUGAUGCGCGAAAGCCAGGGGAGCAAACGGG
rnacentral:rRNA from 1 species